AUACGGAGGGUGCAUGCGUUAUCCGGAAUCAUUGGGUUUAAAGGGUCCGCAGGCGGUCAAUUCAGUCAGAGGUGAAAGCCCAUCGCUCAACGAUGGAACUGCCUUUGAUACUGGUUGACUUGAGUUAUACGGAAGUAGAUAGAAUAAGUAGUGUAGCGGUGAAAUGCAUAGAUAUUACUUAGAAUACCGAUUGCGAAGGCAGUCUACUACGUAUAUACUGACGCUGAGGGACGAAGGCGUGGGGAGCGAACAGGAUUAGAAACCCCGGUAGUCC
rnacentral:rRNA from 1 species